UUGACGGGGGCUCACACAAGCGGUGGAGGAUGUGGCUUAAUUCGAGGCUACGCGAAGAACCUUAUCCAGGCCUUGACAUGUACGGAUGCUGCCCGUGAAAGCGGGUUAGUUGCCUUCGGGUGAAACGUGCACAGGUGCUGCAUGGCUGUCGUCAGCUCGUGUCGUGAGAUGUCGGGUUAAGUCCCUUAACGAGCGAAACCCUUGUCUUUAGUUGCCAGCGAGUCAUGUCGGGGACUCUAAAGAGACUGCCGGUGUUAAACCGGAGGAAGGUGGGGAUGACGUCAAGUCCUCAUGGCCUUUAUGGCCUGGGCUGCACACGUCCUACAAUGGCAUAUACAAAGGGAUGCUACCUCGCGAGAGCAAGCAAAUCCCAAAAAGUAUGCCCCAGUUCGGAUUGCAGGCUGCAACUCGCCUGCAUGAAGCCGGAAUCGCUAGUAAUCGUGGAUCAGCAUGCCACGGUGAAUAUGUUCCUGAGCCUUGUACACACCGCCCGUCAAGCCACGAAAGUGGGGGGGGCUUAAAGUCGCCAAGCUAACCGUAAGGAGGCAGGCGCCUAGAGUCAACUCCGUGAUUGGGACUAAGUCGUAACAAGGUAACC
rnacentral:rRNA from 1 species